rnacentral:rRNA from 1 species
AGCGAACGCUGGCGGCGUGCCUAACACAUGCAAGUCGAACGUGAAAAGGGAAACCUGUGUAACGUGGCGUACGGGUGAGUCACGCGUAGGUAAUCUACCCCAGAAUCUGGAAUAACCUGCCGAAAGGCGGGCGAAUACUGGAUAGAGCGAGGGAACUCGUAAGAGAGUGUUUCGGGAAAGGGAGCCCGCAAGGGCCUUCGUUCUGGGAUGAUCCUGCGUCUCAUUAGCUAGUUGGUAAGGGAACGGCUUACCAAGGCGAUGAUGAGUAGCUGGUCUGAGAGGAAGAUCAGCCAAACUGGAACUGAAGCAAGGUCCAGACUCCUUCGGGGAGCAGCAGGUGGGAAUCAUGCGACAUGGGCGACAGUCUUACUCCGGCACGCCGGGUGAGGGGAGAAGGCCUUCGGGUUGUAAAGCUCUGUCGGUUGGGAAGAAAAACUUCCUAGUGAAUAGCUAGGAGGACUGACGGUACCAACAAAGGAAGCACCGGCUAACUCCGUG